rnacentral:rRNA from 1 species
CAGUCGCCGCGGUAAUACGUAGGGUGCGAGCGUUGCUCGGAAUGACUGGGCGUAAAGGGCGCGUAGGCGGAUUGUUUAGUUAGGCGUGAAAUUCCUGGGCUUAACCUGGGGACUGCGCUUAAUACAGGCAGUCUAGAGUGAGGAAGAGGGUUGUGGAAUUCCCAGUGUAGAGGUGAAAUUCGUAGAUAUUGGGAAGAACACCGGUGGCGAAGGCGGCAACCUGGUCCUUGACUGACGCUGAGGCGCGAAAGCGUGGGGAGCAAACAGGAUUAGAUACCCGAGUAGUCCCUGUCUCUUAUAC